UAACUCGGCGCCGUGCUCGGCAUUGCUCAGAUCUUCACCCAGCUACUUCAAUCGACUCAUCGUGCUCGAACCCAACAACCGAGCUUGCAAUUCGCAUUUGCUCUGUAUUGGGUCGGAUAAGCAAUCAGAUUUCAGUUAGCUAUCGUGUUGGGUUUUGUUGAAAUUUCAAGGAGUUUUUGUGAUGGCAAGCGCAAAUGUCAGCAACCACGCUGCUGCUCCUGUUGCAGCUGAGAAGACGCAUUUGAAGCAGCAAACCAACGCUGAGGAGCCUGCCGUUGCUCCUGAGACAACUAGAUUUCCCAAGGAUGUGGAUGGAGCGAGCAGUGGUCCUGUAUGGCAAAACAUUGCCGUCCCCUUGAAAGCAGAUCCCGCCAACAACCCUAGCAGCGAAGAGUGGGAUCAGGCCAAACAAGCUUUCAAAGACACUGGCUUGCUCAAGCGCCUUCCUUGAGCCCAUGCUCAACGUUAAUAAUAUAUAUAUAUAUAUAUAUAUAUACAUACUGUAUGAGCUACAUUACGGAAAAUACCUCUUUGGUCAUUAGGAUCUUGUCCAAUAUAGUCAACAUUAGCUGAGUGCUUGCUUAGUAGACGUCAGUUACACACAACGUGCAUUUAAUUUAAACAAUGUUGUAUUCAUUAACUAGCAAUUAAAAUUAUGCCAGUUUGUUUAAUUUCUUAUAAA